UGCGAGUCGAAUGUAGCAAUACAUGGCGUACUGCUCAGUAACACGUGGACAACCUGCCCUUAGGUCGGGUAUAAACCCGGGAAACUGGGUAUAAUCCCCUAUAAGUCUCGGCUGCUGGAAUGCACCGAGAUUAAAAGCUCCGGCGCCUAAGGAUGGGUCUACGGCCUAUCAGGUAGUAGUGGGUGUAGCGUACCUACUAGCCUACGACGGGUACGGGUUGUGAGAGCAAGAGCCCGGAGAUGGAUUCUGAGACACGAAUCCAGGCCCUACGGGGUGCAGCAGGCGCGAAAACUUUACAAUGCUGGCAACAGCGAUAAGGGAACCUCGAGUGCCAGGUUACAAAUCUGGCUGUCGAGAUGCCUAAAAAGCAUUUCAUAGCAAGGGCCGGGCAAGACCGGUGCCAGCCGCCGCGGUAACACCGGCGGCUCGAGUGGUAAC
rnacentral:rRNA from 1 species